AACCUAGCACACCUGCGGUGUGUACCUGCGGAGGGAUCAUUACCGAGUUUACAAACUCCCAACCCUUUGUGAACCUUACCGUAUUGUUGCUUCGGCGGGACCGCCCCGGCGCCUCCGGGCCCGGAACCAGGCGCCCGCCGGAGGCCCCAAACUCUUAUGUCUUUAGUGGUUUUCUCCUCUGAGUGACACAUAAACAAAUAAAUAAAAACUUUCAACAACGGAUCUCAGAUCGGAAGAGCA
rnacentral:misc_RNA from 1 species